GGACGGGUGAGUAAUGCCUAGGAAUCUGCCUGGUAGUGGGGGAUAACGCUCGGAAACGGACGCUAAUACCGCAUACGUCCUACGGGAGAAAGCAGGGGACCUUCGGGCCUUGCGCUAUCAGAUGAGCCUAGGUCGGAUUAGCUAGUUGGUGAGGUAAUGGCUCACCAAGGCGACGAUCCGUAACUGGUCUGAGAGGAUGAUCAGUCACACUGGAACUGAGACACGGUCCAGACUCCUACGGGAGGCAGCAGUGGGGAAUAUUGGACAAUGGGCGAAAGCCUGAUCCAGCCAUGCCGCGUGUGUGAAGAAGGUCUUCGGAUUGUAAAGCACUUUAAGUUGGGAGGAAGGGCAUUAACCUAAUACGUUAGUGUUUUGACGUUACCGACAGAAUAAGCACCGGCUAACUCUGUGCCAGCAGCCGCGGUAAUACAGAGGGUGCAAGCGUUAAUCGGAAUUACUGGGCGUAAAGCGCGCGUAGGUGGUUCGUUAAGUUGGAUGUGAAAUCCCCGGGCUCAACCUGGGAACUGCAUUCAAAACUGUCGAGCUAGAGUAUGGUAGAGGGUGGUGGAAUUUCCUGUGUAGCGGUGAAAUGCGUAGAUAUAGGAAGGAACACCAGUGGCGAAGGCGACCACCUGGACUGAUACUGACAC
rnacentral:rRNA from 1 species